GACGGAAGGUGCAAGCGUUGCUCGGAAUCACUGGGCGUAAAGGGUGCGUAGGCGGCUUGGUGGGUCUGGUGUGAAAGCCCCGGGCUCAGCCCGGGAAGGGCGCUAGAAACUGCCGAGCUCGAGUGCCGGAGGGGAGAGUGGAAUUCCUGGUGUAGCGGUGAAAUGCGUAGAUAUCUGGAGGAACACCGGUGGCGAAGGCGGCAACCUGGACCAACACUGACACUGAGGAGCGAAAGCCAGGGGAGCAAACAGG
rnacentral:rRNA from 1 species